UACGUAGGGGGCAAGCGUUGUCCGGAAUCAUUGGGCGUAAAGCGCGUGUAGGCGGCCAGGUAAGUCCGUUCCGAAAGCCCGGGGCUCAACCCCGGGAGGCGGAUGGAUACUGCUUGGCUCGAGUCCGGAAGAGGCGAGUGGAAUUCCCGGUGUAGCGGUGAAAUGCGCAGAUAUCGGGAGGAACACCAAUGGCGAAGGCAGCUCUCUGGGCAUGACCUGACGCUGAGGAGCGAAAGUGUGGGGAGCGAACAGG
rnacentral:rRNA from 1 species